UGACGGCCUUCGGGUUGUAAACCUCUUUCAGUAGGGAAGAAGCGAAAGUGACGGUACCUGCAGAAGAAGCGCCGGCUAACUACGUGCCAGCAGCCGCGGUAAUACGUAGGGCGCAAGCGUUAUCCGGAAUUAUUGGGCGUAAAGAGCUCGUAGGCGGUUUGUCGCGUCUGCCGUGAAAGUCCGGGGCUCAACUCCGGAUCUGCGGUGGGUACGGGCAGACUAGAGUGAUGUAGGGGAGACUGGAAUUCCUGGUGUAGCGGUGAAAUGCGCAGAUAUCAGGAGGAACACCGAUGGCGAAGGCAGGUCUCUGGGCAUUAACUGACGCUGAGGAGCGAAAGCAUGGGGAGCGAACAGGAUUAGAUACCCUGGUAGUCCAUGCCGUAAACGUUGGGCACUAGGUGUGGGGGACAUUCCACGUUUUCCGCGCCGUAGCUAACGCAUUAAGUGCCCCGCCUGGGGAGUACGGCCGCAAGGCUAAAACUCAAAGGAAUUGACGGGGGCCCGCACAAGCGGCGGAGCAUGCGGAUUAAUUCGAUGCAACGCGAAGAACCUUACCAAGGCUUGACAUGGACCGGAAACACCUGGAAACAGGUGCCCCGCUUGCGGCCGGUUCACAGGUGGUGCAUGGUUGUCGUCAGCUCGUGUCGUGAGAUGUUGGGUUAAGUCCCGCAACGAGCGCAACCCUCGUUCCAUGUUGCCAGCGCGUAAUGGCGGGGACUCAUGGGAGACUGCCGGGGUCAACUCGGAGGAAGGUGGGGACGACGUCAAAUCAUCAUGCCCCUUAUGUCUUGGGCUUCACGCAUGCUACAAUGGCCGGUACAAAGGGUUGCGAUACUGUGAGGUGGAGCUAAUCCCAAAAAGCCGGUCUCAGUUCGGAUUGGGGUCUGCAACUCGACCCCAUGAAGUCGGAGUCGCUAGUAAUCGCAGAUCAGCAACGCUGCGGUGAAUACGUUCCCGGGCCUUGUACACACCGCCCGUCAAGUCACGAAAGUUGGUAACACCCGAAGCCGGUGGCCUAACCCCUUGUGGGAGGGAGCUGUCGAAGGUGGGACUGGCGAU
rnacentral:rRNA from 1 species